rnacentral:lncRNA from 1 species
AUAUAGGCUAGGUGUAGAUAUUUUACGGACACGGAUUUCAUUUUCUUUAUCGGUUCUGAUUAAUAAACUCUCUCUAUCUUCUGGAGAGUUCUCAAACGCUCCUCCUUCUCUCUAGAUUCUCUCUCUACAUUUCUCAUGAUUUUUCGGUUUAAUCUCAAUGUUUACAUGGUAUCAGAGCCUAGACGAUCCGACUGUGUUCAUCUGUAUCUCGUUGUCUUGGAUGAAGUCUGUUUCGACAUUUUUGGGGGUGUUUCUGAGACCUUAUGGUCGAUGAUGAUUCCGACCUAAAUCGGAU